rnacentral:lncRNA from 1 species
ACACAAGACUCCCCCUUCACAUUAAAAUCAUCACACCCACCCAUCUAUAUAGUACACACACACAUAGAAACAGGGAGGAUGGUGAGCAACAACGGAUAAAGGGGACAAGGCAAAGAAAUUUUCCAUACAAAUGCACUGUAAUUUCCACUUCAAAAUGAGAAUUCACUCAAGAAUACUUUGAAGGGAAAAGAUCAAACCAUAGCUUCUAAAGCAGGUCCCCACUGUGGCUCCACCUAUUUCGUCGUCAAUCACCAAAACCAAAUUCACCACCGUCGUCCUUUUGCCGGAACUGAUUCACUCACUUACGACACCAGACGGAGUAUUUGGCGUCUUAGUCGAUCUGAGUUUCAGUCCAAGUUCUCGCUCGUACUUGACAAGUUGUCGCGUUUUGGAUCGCCGACAAGGUUCCGGUUUGUUAAUUUCGGUGUGUCAGUAUGAGGAUUGUUGCUUGGUUUAACCCGAUUGAUUUGCAAUUUUCAGCUUUGAAGCAAUAAAGGUCCGAUUUUCUUAAUCACUCUUAUUGAUAUAUUACAUGUACUUGGUGUUUAAUUUGAGUUUAUUUUACACUUGUAGCCUAAAGUGACAUGUUGUGCAAUUGUUGGAAUUAUUCAUCUGUUUGUUGGAAUUUUUGUCGAUGGAUAUCUUAUUUGUUCUUUGGAAAUCAUAUCUAAUGUACAAUCAAUUGAAUGUUGAAGUAAUUGUAAGUAAACGGAAUUUUCAUUAUACUUUACGUAUUUUGAAACUACAAUAUAUAUUAUUAGUUGUUGUUCUUCUCCAUUUUGAAAUGUUACGAGUUGUCUUAGAAAUUGUGCUCAAAAUUGUAGUAGAAUUCCAAAAGUUGUCAAAUGACAGUAUUAAAGGAGCAAAUUUGGCUUCAAAUGUUUAGUUUGAAUGUUAUAAAUACUUGUUGCUUUUGGUCAAGUAUAUUGAUUAAUCCUCAAUGUAUUUUCAAUUUCUUAAUAAUUAAAGGUGAUAAUUUAGUUAGUUUUAUUAUUAAAAUUAGUGCUAAGAUCUGUUGCUCCCAGUCACGUGAGCUUUGUUUUUAUCUAUGGUUAUUAAUGUGUUUGGUUGAUGAUAAUCCUUCGCCGUAUUUAACUCCUUCAUUCAUGUCAUUCACUGUUUGUCCGCUCCCUUAUAGCUUAGGAGAUGAAGAACAUAUGAACAUCGUAGCCUGCUUUUGGCGCGAUUAAUUUUAAAUUAUUGUGGUCAUGGGUACGGCUCCCGUGGCAUGGUCAUGAUACGUAAAUCUCAAUCGAGGCGUGCCAUUAGUUGAAUUUCCAUGACCCUCGCAAAUUUGGAAGUGCGUAGUUGCUUUAGGAGCUCUAUUAAAAAUUAUUUUCUUAAAUUCGGGUGCGUAUUGAUGCGACCCAAAUCCAAAUCUCGAUGAAGUCAAAAUGUGUUGACAAUCACGGGCGCAUUGAUUGCGACGGGGUUCGAAACGCGUUUUCACGACAUCGUAAUUCUUAUAAAAUAAAUAAUGAUAGAAAAGAGGUUCACAAAUUGAGACAAGCCUCACCGAACAAAAAUAAAUAAAUGUGGGGCCCUCAAUAAAUGGUUAUUAAAAAUGAUUAGAAUUUGGGAGGGCCAUUUAGCGAACUUUACGGCCUUCCCCAAAAUAAAAUUAAGUUAGAAUCUUUAGGCGCAAUUUUAAUUAAAUUACCUUCUUAAACUCGGGUGCGCAUUGAUGCUACCCAAAUCCAAAUCUCGACGAAGUCGAAAUAUGUUGACAACCACGAGUGCAUUGAUUGCGACGCGGUUCGAAAUGCAUUUUCACGUCGUCGCAAUUCUUUUAAAAUAAAUAAUGAUAAAAAGCGGUUUACGAAUAAAAGGCACAUAAGCUAGCAUGUAUUAAAAUUAGAUAAGAUCAAAUACGAUAGUUGAGCGACCGUUCUAGAAGCAUGGAACCCGGGAAUGCCUAACACCUUCUCCCGGGUUAACAGAAUUCCUUACUCGGAUUUCUUGUUUGCAGAUUGUAACAGAGUCAUAUUUUUCCUCGGUUCGGGAUUCAACCGGUGACUUGGGACACCAUUAAUCUCCCAAGUGCCGACUCUGAAUUCUUAAUAAAUAAAUCCCGUUCCGAUUGACCUUUAAUUGGAAAAACUCCUUUACGUCCUUGCGGGAGUAGUGAAAAAGGAGGUGUGACAACUUUGACGACUCUGUUGGGGAUCGAACCCAGAAUCUCUGGUUCAGGGUUCAGAAUUCGAGCUUAGAUAAAUUGUUGUAUUUGGUUGUAUCUGAUUUUCCUAUAUGUUUUGUGCUGAAUGUGCUAAAUGUUACCGCUUCGAUAUUAUCUGAACUGUAUAUAAACUAUGCCGACACCCUUCUCUCUUCACCUCCGGGGAUGUGCUUACUGGUUGAGACUCCCUAUUCUGUUAGUGUCAUACCUUGAAAUAAGAAAGUGGCCGGACAAGUUACUAAGCCGGAUGACCUUUUGGUUCCCGGAAAGUUGCCCCCUCCUCGACUCGAGUCGUCCACUCGGGUACACAGUCUAGAACACCGACCCAAGUUUUGAAUAUAGAAUAACAUGACUUCAUGCCGGAUUCCUAGUAGGAACGAUUAUUUGCAUCAUGCUGCAUUUGACUUAGGGGACUUAACACAAGGGUUGUGUUUGUCUAGGGCAAGCAACCUGAAAUGAAAGGACCAUCCUGAUGCAUCCUACUUGCUCUGUACAUAUAUUUGUUUCGAACCUGCAUGUUGACCAGUUUCUGAAUCUCCAGAAUGUUGAAAAAUCGAAAAAAAGAGAAAUAACAGAAAAAUCAAGUACUGUCGAAACUCUGCCGAACAGUUGUUUUCGGACAGUUGUUUGUUGAAAAAGAAAAUGGAAAAGAGUUUUUAUUUUAGUUUGGAAAAAU